UACGGGGGGGGCAAGCGUUGUUCGGAAUUACUGGGCGUAAGGGGCUCGUAGGUGGCCAACUAGUCAGACGUGAAAUCCCCAGGCUCAACUUGGGAACUGCGUCUGAUACUGGAUGGCUUGAAUCCGGGAGAGGGAUGCAGAAUUCCAGGUGUAGCGGUGAAAUGCGUAGAUAUCUGGAGGAAUACCGGUGGCGAAGGCGGCAUCCUGGACCGGCAUUGACACUGAGAGUAGCGAAAGCCAGGGGAGCAAACGGG
rnacentral:rRNA from 1 species